rnacentral:rRNA from 1 species
CUACGACCGUAGAUGUGCGGCAGAUAAUAUUGCGACCGAGAAUCACCCACUCACUCGCCUUCUCCUCGCUUCGUCGUCUACAUAUACCCGGCCGCUCUGUUCUCGUGCUCCCUCUUCCACUCGUCUCGCCAUUAAUUAAAACUCCGGAAAACAAUUUCCCUCUCCCAAAUCCUCCGGAUAUAGCCCCCCUACCACACCCCAGCAAACUCUCACGCGCGCGCGAAGCAUCGGCUCUGUUGGAUCCCCCCUUUGCCUGGACAUUUGAUUCCCCCCGAAUUUCCCAUCAUUUUGGGUUUAUCGGCCAUCUGCGGCGGCAGCUCGGGAUAGGGCUCGCGGGGAUGAGGCUGCAUGGGGAUGUGUCGGAUGAUGAAGAGGAGGAUGCGGUGAUGGAUCCGGCACUGCUGUCGUCGUCAUCGCCGCCCGCCGGUGCGGCGGCGGCGGCUGCGUCGAGGCUGGUGGUGGGCUACGCCCUCACGAAGAAGAAGGUUAAGAGCUUCCUCCAGCCCAAGCUGCUCUUGCUGGCGAGGAAGAAAGGAAUUAGUUUCAUACCAAUUGAUGAGACUCGUCCUCUCUCCGAACAAGGCCCAUUUGAUAUUAUCUUGCACAAGAAAACUAGCAAGGAGUGGCAGCGGUUUCUGGAGGAUUAUCAUGAAGUGCAUCCAGAAGUCACUGUCCUCGACCCACCCAAUGCCAUUGAGCAUCUGAACAAUCGACAAUCGAUGCUUGAAGAAGUAGCAGAUUUGAACCUGUCCAGUUUCUAUGAAGAAGUUUGCACUCCACGCCAAGUGGUCAUUAUGAAAGAUCCGUCCUCUAUACCAACUGCAGUUGCCAUGGCUGGGCUAACCUUGCCAUUGGUUGCCAAGCCAUUGGUUGUUGAUGGAACAUCUAAAUCUCAUGAGCUAUCUCUGGCAUACGAUGAGGCGUCCUUGCCAAUGCUUGAUCCUCCUCUGGUACUCCAGGAAUUUGUGAAUCAUGGUGGGAUCCUCUUUAAGGUGUACAUCAUUGGUGAAGCUAUACAGGUUGUCCGCAGGUUUUCUCUUCCUGAUGUUAAUACCUAUGACUUACUAAACAAUGUUGGCAUCUAUCGACUUCCAAGAGUUUCAUGCGCUGCAGCAAGUGCAGAUCAUGCAGACCUUGAUCCUCGUAUUGCAGAGCUUCCUCCGAGACCACUUCUAGAGAAACUAGGCAGGGAGCUUCGUGGUCGUCUGGGUCUAAGAUUGUUCAACAUAGAUAUGAUUAGAGAGCUUGGAGCAAAUGACCGGUACUAUAUAAUUGAUAUCAACUACUUCCCAGGUGUGUAGUUAUUUUAUCUCUCACAUGGCUCUGCAUUUCUUUUCUUCUGUUUAUGUGUUCAUGAAGAACUUGCUAGGCCGAAAUUUUUAUCCCAGCUGAGGGGAAAAGAAAUGUAUCGUCGCGACAUAUCUCUGCCCGUGUAGGUCAAUUUAACACUGUUCAAGUAGGGGUAUCUUCUCCACUACCCAAGGUUGGCUUGGCUGGGGGAUGAGUAGUCUUGCUAAUUGUAUGUUGUUCAUCCGGGUGCAGAUUGUUCUUAACCAUUACAGGUAACUUCAUCCAAGGUGAAGAUUGUUAGGAAUAUGACAUGUAAAUCAUGCAAGACAUUUUAAUGCUUUGUAGUUUCAUUGAUGCUGUCAGAUCAGUUCCUAUGGAGACAGCAAUACACGCUACCACAGAAGUUGCUUUUGUUUUGUUCAGUUAAAUGGGCAAGUGUUGCAUGUAAAAUUACAGCAAAAACGUCAUGGUCUUGACUCUUGACGAUUUCACAGCAUGGUAAUUUCCUUGCAGUAGCAAUUCUUGACUGUCUAGGAAGUAAUGCUGCUGUUUUCAUUUUUUCUGCAGGAUAUGGGAAAAUGCCUGGCUAUGAGCACAUAUUCACCGAUUUCUUGCAAAGUCUUGGGCAAAACAAAUACCAAAGGUGCUUGAGCGGAGGCUGAAGCGCUGGUAGCCAUACUUGUUCACUAAUGUGCAUAUCUUGGAUACAUAAGCUGGAGCCCAAGGCUUGAAGUCCCAAACUUACAUGUUUUGUCAGAAGUGGCGCCACAUACACAGGGUCGGGAGUAGGGGGAGAGAAAGAAGAACUCGAAUGGCCUUGUGCCCAUCUUGUAUAAAUCACGGUUAUUUUGAUCAUAGUUUGGUCUCAAAUGCUUUCAUCAAACAGGAUCAACGCCAUCAACCCACCAUGUAUGAUAUUGAUCAGUUAAGCUACAUACAGUGCAUCACAGUAAGCAAUAUUCAAAAUAAGACAGCAUCACCUGCUUCCAGGUAUAGUUUGACACUACAGAGAACUAAAUGCUCUUGUAGGGGGAAAUUCAAUCAGAUUGCAAAGCUUCUAACCUUCAGUCAGAAAAUCUUGAUAAAUUGAAGCAGGUAGACAUGACUUGGUGCAGGCUUGGAGCAUGAGCAGCUGCUCGUUCCGCGGCACUUUUUAGCUGCUGCAGACUAGACACACAAGGAGUGUUUGCAUGUGCCUGCAUUUCCAGUAAACCUAUUUCUGUUUGUUCGGCAGUAAAUGAGCUAAGUUGCAGUGUGUAUAGAAAUGGCCUGUACUUUCUAAGGCAGGAUGAUGUUGAUGCUGCCUCAUGUGGAAGAGCCAUGUAUCGAUGACACAGGCAUGCCCAGGGAAACUAAUUAUAGAGGUAACAUGCGAACAUCCCUUUUGGAGGCUGAGUUCAAUGGAGGCCAGGUUUUGAAAAAUUCAAAAUUCACCGAAAUUCAUAGUUUCAUAUUUCAAAAAAUUCUGACAAAAAUAUGGAUAUGCGUGGAGGCAUAAUGCACAAGUGUGUAAAUUUUCAGGAUGAAAUCCGUUGAAAUGAGG